GAUGAACGCUGGCGGCGUGCCUAAUACAUGCAAGUCGAGCGAACGGACGAGAAGCUUGCUUCUCUGAUGUUAGCGGCGGACGGGUGAGUAACACGUGGAUAACCUACCUAUAAGACUGGGAUAACUUCGGGAAACCGGAGCUAAUACCGGAUAAUAUUUUGAACCGCAUGGUUCAAAAGUGAAAGACGGUCUUGCUGUCACUUAUAGAUGGAUCCGCGCUGCAUUAGCUAGUUGGUAAGGUAACGGCUUACCAAGGCAACGAUGCAUAGCCGACCUGAGAGGGUGAUCGGCCACACUGGAACUGAGACACGGUCCAGACUCCUACGGGAGGCAGCAGUAGGGAAUCUUCCGCAAUGGGCGAAAGCCUGACGGAGCAACGCCGCGUGAGUGAUGAAGGUCUUCGGAUCGUAAAACUCUGUUAUUAGGGAAGAACAUAUGUGUAAGUAACUGUGCACAUCUUGACGGUACCUAAUCAGAAAGCCACGGCUAACUACGUGCCAGCAGCCGCGGUAAUACGUAGGUGGCAAGCGUUAUCCGGAAUUAUUGGGCGUAAAGCGCGCGUAGGCGGUUUUUUAAGUCUGAUGUGAAAGCCCGCGGCUCAACCGUGGAGGGUCAUUGGAAACUGGAAAACUUGAGUGCAGAAGAGGAAAGUGGAAUUCCAUGUGUAGCGGUGAAAUGCGCAGAGAUAUGGAGGAACACCAGUGGCGAAGGCGACUUUCUGGUCUGUAACUGACGCUGAUGUGCGAAAGCGUGGGGAUCAAACAGGAUUAGAUACCCUGGUAGUCCACGCCGUAAACGAUGAGUGCUAAGUGUUAGGGGGUUUCCGCCCCUUAGUGCUGCAGCUAACGCAUUAAGCACUCCGCCUGGGGAGUACGACCGCAAGGUUGAAACUCAAAGGAAUUGACGGGGACCCGCACAAGCGGUGGAGCAUGUGGUUUAAUUCGAAGCAACGCGAAGAACCUUACCAAAUCUUGACAUCCUUUGACAACUCUAGAGAUAGAGCUUUCCCCUUCGGGGGACAAAGUGACAGGUGGUGCAUGGUUGUCGUCAGCUCGUGUCGUGAGAUGUUGGGUUAAGUCCCGCAACGAGCGCAACCCUUAAGCUUAGUUGCCAUCAUUAAGUUGGGCACUCUAAGUUGACUGCCGGUGACAAACCGGAGGAAGGUGGGGAUGACGUCAAAUCAUCAUGCCCCUUAUGAUUUGGGCUACACACGUGCUACAAUGGACAAUACAAAGGGCAGCGAAACCGCGAGGUCAAGCAAAUCCCAUAAAGUUGUUCUCAGUUCGGAUUGUAGUCUGCAACUCGACUACAUGAAGCUGGAAUCGCUAGUAAUCGUAGAUCAGCAUGCUACGGUGAAUACGUUCCCGGGUCU
rnacentral:rRNA from 1 species